UGUUCUGCUGCUGUUAACAGCCACAAAUUGCCUUGAGUUUAUUGCAGCUCUGACACUACAAGGGAGGACCUGCUUGCCCCAAAAACCUGAAGGAAGGGAAAUAAUGAUCCCAUCUGACUCCUGUGUGGGAUUAGCUGCGAUUCCGCUGUGCCUGUUAAAAGACAAGAGAGGUCACAGCUCCAUCCAGGUUACAGCUCCAUCCAUGGUGGGGCACAGCAUCCUGAAUUCAUAAAUUCCUUCUGCUGUGGAGGUGAGGGACCAGAAGUCCAUCCAGCCCAUCACCCUUCCUCUGGGCUGGCCACUUCUGGGGCUGGAGCAAACUCCUCUCUGUCUUCAGAGCAAGAGAGCAAUUCCAUAAAACCCAUUAGAAAUAUAUGAGGGGACAGAACAGUAUGUUAUGAAAUAAUUAUACAUCAUUUGAGGUGUGGAUGACCCAUGGGUGUAGAAGCUGAAGACCUGCCCAUGCCAUGAUGACAUACAAGCCGGCCAUAAAGACAGCGCUAAAUGAAUCUUAAAAACGUUAAGAGAGAUCCAGUUUACUCUCAGAAGAGAGCAAUUACAGGUAGACAUCCAGCAGAAGAUUUCAGUGCUCAAGCUGAGUUCUGCAGCCUUUUCCCACAUCUACUUGUGCUCACUACAGGUACCAGAAAAAAUGGUGGAGAAGUAUCUCAAGACACUUUGAGAGAUGG